rnacentral:rRNA from 1 species
UACGUAGGGUGCGAGCGUUGUCCGGAAUUACUGGGCGUAAAGAGCUCGUAGGUGGUUUGUCGCGUUGUUCGUGAAAACUCACAGCUCAACUGUGGGCGUGCGGGCGAUACGGGCAGACUGGAGUACUGCAGGGGAGACUGGAAUUCCUGGUGUAGCGGUGGAAUGCGCAGAUAUCAGGAGGAACACCGGUGGCGAAGGCGGGUCUCUGGGCAGUAACUGACGCUGAGAAGCGAAAGCGUGGGGAGCGAACAGG